GGUGGGAGGGGCGUGUAAGAGUGGAAGCGCAGGCCCGGGGGCGGCAGUGUUGGAGGAGGAGGUCAUCCAGAGGACGUGACCGCUGGUUGACCCAGAGCUGGAUUGGUAAUCAGAAGUUCCCCACCCUUCCGCUCUCCGUGGAAUGUACCUUCCGCCCACCAGUUCCACGGCGGGGUCGCUUUUAGAGGGCACAGCCUUGAGGGCACAACGUGUUGUUUAGACCGUCUAGAUGGUAUACGUGGCUGAACCCCGUUAAGGCCUCUAUAAACGGUCUGGUCUUACGGCUGCUGAAGACAAGCCUCGGAAUUUCAAACUGUAUUUUGAGUAAAGCCAAGAAGCCACGGGAGUGAAAGAAUAACGUGUGGGCUCCAAAUGCAUUUCUGGACCAGUUGAAUAUGAGGGAAUAGAGUCCCUGGAAGGCACCGCCAUGCUGUGUGCACUGUGCUUGUGCAUUUGAUAUGGGUUGUACAGAGAAGGCCUACAGGAGAUAGAUACGAUAUAAGCCACGUUCAGAGGAUACAGAUUGCUCAUAACUCAAGGAAGAGCAGCAGUAGGGACUCAAGGAUAAGAAGUACAGCUUCCCUGCAGAGAAAUUCUCUAAUAGCCACAGAAGGGCCCUAAGGAACAGCAAGAUGCAACUGUGACCAGGAUGCAUUUUAGUAAGAGCAAAAAGUACCCUGGAGCAUCUUUCAAUCCAGUGCCAAAGUUUGAUGUGAAAUGGAAGAGCAAAUGCAGCCAACUACAGCAGAGUACAAGAGGAGUCACAGGGACCAUAGCUACUUGGCAUCCAAGCUACUUUUGUGGCGGACCAAGGGUGAGUGACUUCAUUGCUAUUCACAUCGGUGAACACAAAUGAAUUGGCCCACGGGAAGUCCGUGUUGCUAGAUCAGAUUUCAGCCUUACAAGAGCUGAAAUAGUAAUACGUGAUGAGCCAUAGUAACUCAUUAUGGUUUUAGGGCCUGGCUACUUUGUGGUCAUGAAGUAUAAUAUCAUGAGCCGUAAGAAUUUGCAAGAUUCUGUCUCAAGUUAGUGCUAUAGUACAUCUUGCCACCAUUGACAUAGGCAUGCACUGUUCUGCCUGAGGCAUUAGAUGUCUAAUUUGAUCAAAUUCAGAUCCUAUAAUUUGAAUCCAAGCCAAACCACAAUCAAAUCAUAAAAUUUCCAAAUCUGCCACCAUCUUGGAAAUGUCAAAUGCUGGGUAGGGGAGCAGGAAAUGACUACACAGGGAAUAAAUAGAACUGUUUUAAUGAAUUUUGCAUCUGGCCGUUAUGGCCAUCAAUCCAUUAGAUAUAAUUUAAACAUCUUGAUUAGCAUUUCAUUACCUUACAUGACUGCUGGGGAAAAAAAAAUAGUGCCUCCAUGUACCACGCAUACCAAAAUAUCCUAAACUCCUUUGAGUUUUGAGGAGCUAAAUAUAGUGCUCUCAGGCCACUUACAUGGUGUUUGAAGUCUGCUUGAUGUUAAGCUAAAAAAUAAACCUGAGAAAAAGGGAUGUUUUUAUAUGCUCAGAUAUUAAGACCCACUAGAAGCAUGGACUGCUUUGGCAAUCAUUGUCGGACCUCCCUGGUGUCUGAGGAAUUGUACGCUCCUUUCUAAAUCCUUUCGGAAAUUGCCAGUUUGAUAGAAUAACAUUGCAGGAAACCACUCAAAUUGAACAUAUUUGUUGUUUUAUGUUCUGCCAAGCAAAUGUCAGAACAAUGCCAGGAGA